rnacentral:rRNA from 1 species
GACGAACGCUGGCGGCGUGCUUAACACAUGCAAGUCGAACGGAAAGGCCCUGCUUUUGUGGGGUGCUCGAGUGGCGAACGGGUGAGUAACACGUGAGUAACCUGCCCUUGACUUUGGGAUAACUUCAGGAAACUGGGGCUAAUACCGGAUAGGAGCUCCUGCUGCAUGGUGGGGGUUGGAAAGUUUCGGCGGUUGGGGAUGGACUCGCGGCUUAUCAGCUUGUUGGUGGGGUAGUGGCUUACCAAGGCUUUGACGGGUAGCCGGCCUGAGAGGGUGACCGGCCACAUGGGGACUGAGAGACGGCCCAGACUCCUACGGGAGGCAGAAGUGGGGAAUAUUGCACAAUGGGCGGAAGCCUGAUGCAGCAACGCCGCGUGCGGGAUGACGGCCUUCGGGUUGUAAACCGCUUUCGCCUGUGACGAAGCGUGAGUGACGGUAAUGGGUAAAGAAGCACCGGCUAACUACGUG